rnacentral:rRNA from 1 species
AAGGCAUACGGCUCAGUAACGCGUAGUCAACCUACCCUAUGGACGGGGAUAAUCUCGGGAAACUGAGCAUAAUACCCGGCAGACCACUUAUCCUGGAAUGGUUAGUGGUUAAAAUGAUUCGUCGCCAUAGGAUGGGACUGCGGCCUAUCAGCUUGUUGGUGAGGUAAUGGCCCACCAAGGCGAUUACAGGUACGGGCUCUGAGAGGAGAGGCCCGGAGAUGGGUACUGAGACAAGGACCCAGGCCCUAUGGGGCGCAGCAGGCGAGAAAACUUUGCAAUGUGCGAAAGCACGACAAGGUUAAUCCGAGUGAUUUCUGCUAAAGGAAUCUUUUGUUAGUUCUAAAAAUACUAGUGAAUAAGGGGUGGGCAAGUUCUGGUGUCAGCCGCCGCGGUAAAACCAGCACCUCAAGUGGUCAGGAGGAUUAUUGGGCCUAAAGCAUCCGUAGCCUGUUCUAUAAGUUUGCGGUUAAAUCUAUACGCUUAACGUAUAGGCUGCCGUAAAUACUGUAGAACUAGGGAGUGGGAGAGGUAGACGGUACUCGAUAGGAAGGGGUAAAAUCCUUUGAUCUAUUGAUGACCACCUGUGGCGAAGGCGGUCUACCAGAACACGUUCGACGGUGAGGGAUGAAAGCUGGGGGAGCAAACCGGAUUA